rnacentral:misc_RNA from 1 species
AAGUCGUAACAAGGUAACCGUAGGUGAACCUGCGGUUGGAUCAUUAAUGAAAUGUUUCUAAAACCCGAGGGUCAGUUCUUUCACUAGGACUUUCCCUUAUCAACCCAUAUAGAGUGGUUGUUGGGCCUUGGCCCAAUGGUCGCUUUAUAAACACAUUUAUACCAAAGACUUUUUCAUAAAAAGACUUUUUGAUUUAGAGCUUGCUCUAGAGAGAUGAGACUAUAUAAAGAAAAACAACUUUUGACAACGGAUCUCUUGGCUCUC